rnacentral:rRNA from 1 species
GACGAACGCUGGCGGCGCGCUUAACACAUGCAAGUCGAGCGAUGAAAUUUCGACAGAUCCCUUCGGGGUGAAGAUGAAAUGGAUUAGCGGCGGACGGGUGAGUAACACGUGAGUAACCUGCCUUUGACAUUGGGAUAGCCUCGGGAAACUGGGAUUAAUACCAAAUGACACUAACUGAUCACAUGAUCAAUUAGUCAAAGAAAUUCGGUCAAAGAUGGACUCGCGGCUGAUUAGCUAGUUGGUGAGGUAACGGCCCACCAAGGCGGCGAUCAGUAGCCGGGCUGAGAGGGUGAUCGGCCACACUGGAACUGGGACACGGUCCAAACUCCUACGGGAGGCAGCAGUGGGGAAUAUUGCACAAUGGGGGAAACCCUGAUGCAGCGACGCCGCGUGAGCGAAGAAGGCCGUCGGGUCGUAAAGCUCUUUUAUGAGGGAAGAUAAUGACGGUACCUCAAGAAAAAGCCCCGGCUAACUACGUG